rnacentral:rRNA from 1 species
GUUAAAAAGCUCGUAGUUGGAUCAAGAGUUCGACAGUGCACGGUGGCCCUGUUUGUCAUGGUGGUUCCGAUCACCGUGGCGGCAGCGGAUCAACCCCGUGCGCCAAACUGUCGACUCUAACAGACCGAAACGGUUCCCUGUGAGUAGGCUCCUUCAUUGGGGCUGAAAGCGCUUACGCAUCAACCAUAUGCAUACGGGACGUCGGUCAAAGUUACUGUGAACAAACCAGCGUGUCCAAAACAGGCUUUCGCCUGAAUGCUCGAGCAUGGAACAACAAGGGAUCGAUUCUCUCGGUUCUUUUUGUUGGUUUUUAACCCGAGAAGGAGUAAUUCAGGCCACGGUGUCUGAGUUGGGUUUCCCUUCACCUCGGUGGAGGCCCCAAUUAGGCAGUGUCCUUACGGGACAAAUAGGGACUGGCGGGGUCGUACGUACUUCCACGUCAGAGGUGAAAUUCUUAGAUCGUGGGAAGACGAACUUCUGCGAAAGGAUUCGACAAGAAUGUCUUCAUUAAUCAAGAACGAGAGUGUGGGGAUCGAAGAUGAUCAGAUACCGUCGUAGUCCACUACUGUAAACAAUGCCGUCUCAGGAUUGAGAAGUGA